AUUGAACGCUGGCGGCAGGCUUAACACAUGCAAGUCGAGCGGAGAGAGGUAGCUUGCUACUGAUCUUAGCGGCGGACGGGUGAGUAAUGCUUAGGAAUCUGCCUAUUAGUGGGGGACAACAUUUCGAAAGGAAUGCUAAUACCGCAUACGUCCUACGGGAGAAAGCAGGGGAUCUUCGGACCUUGCGCUAAUAGAUGAGCCUAAGUCGGAUUAGCUAGUUGGUGGGGUAAAGGCCUACCAAGGCGACGAACUGUAGCGGGUCUGAGAGGAUGAUCCGCCACACGGGGACUGCGAACCGGCCCAGACUCCUACGGGAGGAAGCAGUGGAGAAUAUUGGACAAUGGGCGCAAGCCUGUCCCAGCCAUGCAGCGUGUGUGAAGAAGGCCUUAUGGUUGUAAAGCACUUUAAGCGAGGAGGAGACUACUUUAGUUAAUACCUAGAGAUAGUGGACGUUACUCGCAGAAUAAGCACCGGCUAACUCUGUGCCAGCAGCCGCAGUAACAC
rnacentral:rRNA from 1 species